GACGAACGCUGGCGGCGUGCUUAACACAUGCAAGUCGAACGGAAAGGCCUAGCUUGCUGGGUACUCGAGUGGCGAACGGGUGAGUAACACGUGGGUGAUCUGCCCCUGACUUUGGGAUAAGCCUGGGAAACUGGGUCUAAUACCGGAUAUUCAUUUUUCCUCGCAUGGGGAUUUGUGGAAAGCUUUUGCGGUUGGGGAUGGGCCCGCGGCCUAUCAGCUUGUUGGUGGGGUAAUGGCCUACCAAGGCGACGACGGGUAGCCGACCUGAGAGGGUGAUCGGCCACACUGGGACUGAGACACGGCCCAGACUCCUACGGGAGGCAGCAGUGGGGAAUAUUGCACAAUGGGCGCAAGCCUGAUGCAGCGACGCCGCGUGAGGGAUGACGGCCUUCGGGUUGUAAACCUCUUUCAGCUCCGACGAAGCGCAAGUGACGGUAGGAGCAGAAGAAGCACCGGCCAACUACGU
rnacentral:rRNA from 1 species